GCCGGGAUAGUCUAGUGGUUAUGACGUCUGCCUUACACGCAGAAGAUCGCGAGUUCAAUCCUCGCUCCUGGUA
rfam:Perkinsus marinus ATCC 50983 gcontig_1104296543458, whole genome shotgun sequence.